AAAAUCCACUAGGGGUGCCAUUUUGGCUGAGAUAAGAUGCAUUUCUUGAUCCCUUUGAACCUGAACUGGUUAAUACCAGCGUAGGAAAGUGGAGUUGGCGACUA
rnacentral:ncRNA from 2 species